AUUGAACGCUGGCGGCAGGCCUAACACAUGCAAGUCGAACGAGUGGCGGACGGGUGAGUAAUGUCUGGGAAACUGCCUGAUGGAGGGGGAUAACUACUGGAAACGGUAGCUAAUACCGCAUACCAUCGGAUGUGCCCAGAUGGGAUUAGCUAGUUGGUGGGGUAAAGGCUCACCUAGGCGACGAUCCCUAGCUGGUCUGAGAGGAUGACCAGCAACCCUGGAACUGAGACACGUUCUAGACUACGACGGGGGGCAGCAGGGGGGAAGAUUGUACAAGGGGCGCAAGCGUGGUGCAGCCAUGCCGCGUGUAUGAAGAAGGCCUUCGGGUUGGAAAGAACUUUCAGCGGGGAGGCGUUACCCGCAGAAGAAGCAACGGCUAACGCCGUGCCAGCAGCCGCGGUAAUAC
rnacentral:rRNA from 1 species